GGGCGAGUGGUCUCAAUGGAUAAGAUACCGGUGAUCUCCAAUCAGGCCGCACGGCGAUUGGCGUCUUCACCGUGUGAUGGUGGUUCGACUCCGCCUUCGUCCA